UCCAGGAACGCCGACCUCACAGAAGCAUUCAAUUUCAUCACUCAACUUCCACAAACACAAUCCAGGAUACAGCUUAGGCCUAAUGCUAACAUUCCCACACAUCUUAGCAGGAGAUCUUCCUUCUACCACUUUUCUUCACUUGACAGAAAACACCAUCACACACGAAAACCAUCUUGUACCUAAGGAUUCACCAGAAUCAUUCUAGAGGCUACAGUGCACUCAGCUCAGAGAUGAUUUUAAGAGAUGAAAUUGCUGUAAGUAGGUUAAAAUUCUGUCCUAAAAAACACUUCUAGCUUUUAGGAAAAACUUGAAAGACAGAGGUACAUUUUCUUAAGGAGGACUACAGAUGAAUAGCUAGUAGCUGAAACUAAGUAAAGGAGGAAGAAAACAAGAUACCUAUAGCCGGAAGAGAAGUGAGCAGAAAAUAUAAUGCCCUUUCUAAAGUGUAUCUUUGGUCCCUGCUCUCAAUUCGAAACAAAAGACCACAAAGGAAAAACUCUGAAGUCAAAGAAAUGAUUGAAGGCUGGCCUUUCCACCUACUUUUCCAUGCAUUUGUUUAUUCUCUCUUUCGGCUUGAAUUUCAGCAUGUCAGCGGGCUCACCAUGAGCGAGGCUACAUAAUCAAGAGAUGCAGACUUUAAUUGUAAUUACCCAUUUAUACAACAAAAUGAAUGGAUAAUAAUUGUCCAAUGCUUGCCACCCGCACUAACCUUUGUUAGGAACUGGCAAUACAAUUAAUCAGACAUGGUUCCUGCUUUGUGAAUUCUGCAAUUUCAAGGGAAAGCUGAAAUGCAAGCACAAACGGGCACUCCACUGUGGUAUGUACCAUGCUAGAGCUCCAUAGGAAACGCUACAGGAACACUUCUCUGGUUUCCAGGCCUUCUACCUGCACUGUGUCUUUUCCCUGAAGAAAGCUGAUGACAGAUCUCUGUCUUCCUGGACUCUCACUGGUAAUCAGGCACCCAGCAGGAGAGAUCAGAGGGCAGUCAUCCCUGAGGACUGAUUUUUAGAGGCAGUCAGUCCUCAGACUUUAUCAGGUGCACUUGAGCCAACAUCAAGGUGAAUGGUACACGACAGAAAGCUACAUGUGUCCCGUGUCCAGAGUCAUCGACAUUUUUCUCAAGAGAACAUUUGCCCAAUCACUUGUUCUUUGAGAGGAGCCAAAGAAAAAUUCUUUACAUGGCAAAUGGAAUAAUGGGGGAUACAAGUGCUGAGGAUGAACACAGGAGCCAAAGGACGGGCAAGUUUUCCUCUGAAGAACAACACAGCUACCCUAUAGAGAAAGAUGUGCUGUGAGGCACUGGCUCCAAACCCACUGAUGUGUAACAAGUGCAUGUCCCACUGAGGAAACAAAUACAUAUUUCUCCAGAAGUGGGGUCAGUGCCAGAAAGUAAGAUGCCAAAGGAAGCAGAAAAAUCAACUGUCCUGUCCUGCAGAACUCGUGACUCGCGGCUAUCCAAUCCACCCUCAGCCACAUGGAGGCACCUACAAAAUAAACUCCACCAGCAAAAUGGCUACAAUGACAGAAAUCAUCCAUAAAUAGAAGUAUCAUUGUUGACGGACCAAGCUGCAAGCCUAAUCAUCGUAAACCAACAACAAUCGCCUCUAUCUUGGACAAGAUGUUUAUCGGGAAGCAGAAGCUGAAUAUC